rnacentral:rRNA from 1 species
GGGGUUCAGUGGCUCACGGGUGAGUAACACGUGGGAAUCUACCCAAUAGUGGGGGACAGCCCGGCGAAAGCCUGAUUAAUACCGCAUACGCCCUACGGGGGAAAGGGAGAAGGCGCUAUUGGAUGAGCCCGCGUAAGAUUAGCUAGUUGGUGGGGUAAAGGCUUCCCCACGCGACGAUCUUUAGCUGGUCUGAGAGGAUGGCCAGCCACAUCGGGACUGAGACACGGCCCGGACUCCUACGGGAGGGAGCAGUCGGGAAUAUUGGACAAUGGGCGCAAGC